rnacentral:lncRNA from 1 species
CAUCAGCAUCGACCGCGCGUCCCUAAAGCAUAUGGCAAAGGACUUGAUAGUUGGUAUCCGAGAUCCCAAGUUCGAAUCCUAAUUUAUUCACAUUUUCAGCUAAGUUUAUUUCUAACUGAAAUAAACGAAACGAAUAGCGUGCUACCUAUCUGUCAAGUCUCGGAUUACCACGUUUUCCCUGGCACGCCAACAGACCCGUCGUAUACAAAAGAAUUUUCUCUGUAUACAACAGACCCGUCGUAUACAACUAGUAGUAUAGAGCUGCUAAACUGAACUGUAUAUAAAUAAACAACAGGUUCACCAUACAUACAAAGUCUCCCUGAUACAACAUCUCUCGCUCCAGCGAGUAACAACAUAAGUAUGUACAUGAACCAAAAACCAUAACUAUCUGCAGCUGGUACUCCUCUAGUGCUGCAACCAGGGAAGGGAUCUAGUUCGCAACCCCCCUUCCACGAUCAGUAUCGGUGACAGCAGCAGCCACAAAAAAAGGCUCUGCGAAAAGGGAUAAACAACUGGGUGUGAGAACUACUACAUGAAGAACUAGUCCUCAAUGGGUACCGCUACCGACCUCAACGGCUCACCCACUAAGUCUAUAGAAAGUAUGCGAAGGAUAAUAAAGGAAGCUGGUAAAACUCUACAGCUAUAUGCCACUAUACUAUCACUAAUCAACUCUAACUAUCUGUAGAUAUGCAUCCCCUGCAAUAACGACUAUACUGUCAAGGGACUGCCAACAGGCCCAUCCCGCCUGCUUCCGAGCUAUACCGCACACCACCACUGAGGUGGCCGGUCCUAAAGCACCGAGCUAUACCGCACACUACCACUGAAGUGGCCGGUCCUAAAGCACCAUCCAAACAGGACUGCUUCAACAACAAAGCAAAAGCACAAAGCCCAACUCCGGAGUGGCACUUGUGGGCGCUACCAAACCGAGUAUGCAAGUAUGUCUCUAUUGAGCUCGAUCAGGCUCUCACAGGCUAUAAUCAAAGCAAAUGGGUCUAAUAACUAAAACUUACGUACCCUUGGCACAAUCUAAUGCAAAUACAGAAAUCUGGGUCCAUCGUCAACCGCGACGACACCCGACAGUACGAAACAGUCUACACACUACUGUAAAAUAAACUCGGUAUCCCAGUACGAGCGUAAACCCCUCCUACACUAAUCUGAGUAUCUACCGCAUACAAACUGCGGCAAUACAAACAAACCACAGCAUCUAACGCUAAAUCUGGUAGUUUUCAGAAAAUGACAGUGUAGGAUUUACAGUUUUCUCCUAAGUCAAUUCCAAGUCCAGCAUGUAAAAUUAUACUACUACUACUUAACUCCAAAUUCAUAUUUUAAGCCUAAUCCAUGAAUUCGAGUACAAGCAAGAAAAUAAACACAUGAUACAUGUUGACGAUAUAAAAACUUAGGAGGUAUUUCGGCGAUUUCGGUAAACUUCAACCCACCUCGAAAAGUUUGUCCAACAACAGCGAGAAGUCGAGAGAAGGGAAAACACACGCUCGCCCGGCCUCCAACGGUGCAACCGCGACAUCCUCGCGCUCGAACGGCUCCCCGACGCAACGUCGACGUCGAUCCGAGCUCAAGCCGUAGCCUCCACCAAGCACACAAUUAAAACUAGAGAGAUGAACAUGAGAUAAUUAAUCUCUCUCAAGUGGAUAAAUAUAAGGGAGUAGGUGGCGUGGAUAACUAUCACCACAAAUGACCACCAUACCCCUUUACCAACUCAAAAAACAGCUAGAGUACCGGUACCCGAUUUGGUUACCGGUACUCGGCCUCUUAGCCCACAAGCUCACACACAGGGUACCAGUACCAGCCCGAUACCGUACCGGUACUCAACACUGAAAUCUUGCACUUUGCGGAUUUCAGCGUCAGAACUCCACUCUCGCCUCGCGUUGACUCCGUUUUGUAUCCAUUUCAUGCCAAAACUUCUCCGACUGGUCCCGAUACUCUCCAGAUGUGUCGACAAGCCUCAGAUGCUGAAAUCACACAGGCUACAGAACACCAGGGAUACUACAUCUUCCUCCACUAUAAAAACUUUGGUCCUCGAAACUUAGAAGCAUACCUCAAACCUGAGUCUCGAACAAGUAGGGAUAGGACUCCUGCAUCACCGUCUCUGGCUCCCACGUCGCCUCACGCUCCUCGUGAUUGCUCCACUGCACUUUUACAUAAGAAAUGACCCGGUUGCGUAAUUCUUUCAUCUCACGAGACCGAAUUCGCACCGGUCGCUCCCCAUAUCUCAAGUCCUCCAGUGGAGUGAAGUCAAUCACGUGGGAGGGGUCGAACACGUAUCUUCUCAAAACUGAGACGUGAAAUAUAUCAUGAAUGCCGGCCAAUCUUGGGGGUAGAGCAAUCCUGUAUGCUACUGAUCCGACUCGCUCCAAUACCUCAAAAGGGCCUACAAAGCGCGGACUGAGCUUUCCACGUACUCUGAAUCUGUGUAUCCCUCGGGACGGCGAGACUUUUAAAAACACACGAUCUCCAACCUGAAACUCUAAGUCUCGUCUCCUGGUAUCGGCGUAGCUCCUCUGUCGACUCUAGGCUGUCAAAAUGUAUCGUUGCGCAACCUUGACCUUCUCCUCUGCCUCUAUCAGAAUCUCAGGUCCCAGAGUGUUCCUUUCACCCACAUAACUCUAAUGCAAAGGGGAUCAACACCUGCGUCCAUACAACACUUUAAACGGAGUCAUCUGAAUGCUCGUUUGAUAGCGGUUGUUGUAUGCAAACUCAACCAGUCUCAAAUGUCGAUGCCACCCUCCUCCAAAGUUCAGGACACAUGGUCUCAGUAUGUCCUCCAGAGUCUGAAUUUUCCACUAUAAUGGACCAUCUGUCUGUGGGUGAAAUGUUAUGCUGAAAUGUAGCUGUGUACCCAAGGCCAUCUUAAGACUCUUCCAGAAAUGCGAGACAAAUCUCGGGUCUCGAUCCGAUACUAUCGAGGUAGGCACACCAUGCAAUCUAACAAUCUUAUCUAAGUAUAGCUAAGCGAGUCUCUCUCUGGAUCAGGUGGUCUGUACUGGUAGGAAGUGAGCAGACUUGGUCAGCCCACUAUCACCCAAAUAGCAUCGAAACCACCCUAUGCUCUAGGUAAUCCCAAGACAAAGUCCAUCGUAAUCUGCUCCCAUUUCCACUCGGGCACUGGCAGGUUCUAAAGCUUGCCAGCAGGCACCUGAUGCUCUGCAUUUACUUGUUGGCAAGUCAGACACUGAGCCACAUAUCUGCGAAUGUCCCGCUUCAUUCCAUUCCACCAAAAGUGUGCCUUCAAGUCCUUAUACAUCUUGGUUCCACCGGGGUGAACCGUAUAAAGUGAGUAAUGAGCCUCUCUCAAAAUCUCCUCUCGGAUCUCUGAAUCCAUAGGAGUCCCUGUACUGGAGUACUCCCGAACUGUCUACUGAAAAGGCCUCCGCCUGUCCCCUCUCUAACUGCUCUCGAAUCCUCAACAAGUGAGAGUCUCUACUCUAUUUCUCCAUGAUCCUGUCCAACAAAGUGGGCUGCAAGACCAUAGACAUCAGUCUCGUAGUAGACCCAGGGGACACUAUCUCAAGCCUCAACCGCUGUAGCUCCUCAAGUAACGGUCUCUGCUAAGUAAUCAACAUGCUGAAGCUCUGCACUGACUUCCUGCUCAACGCAUCUGCCACCACAUUCGCUUUGCUAGGAUGAUACUGAAUGCUAACAUCAUUAUUUUUCAAUAACUCCAACCACCGGCGCUGCCUCAGAUUCAACUCCUUCUGGGUAAAUAGAUACUUGAGACUUUUAUAAUCAGUGAAAACCUCACUGUGCUCGCCAUACAAAUACUGCCGCCACAACUUCAAGGCAAAAAUCACUGUAGCAAGCUCCAAGUCAUGCGUAGAGUAAUUCUUCUCGUAAUCCUUCAAUUAUCGGGAAGCAUAAGCAAUUACCCUACCAUGCUGCAUCAGAACACAACCCAACCCACUAUGUGAUGCAUCACUGUAGAUCACAAAUCCUUCCCCCAUAACUGGAAGGGCAAGGAUAGGAGCUGACAUUAGCCUCAGUCUCAACUCGUCGAAGCUCCUCUAACAAUCCUCACUCCGAAUAAACUUAAUUCCCUUUCGAGUCAAUCGAGUGAGGGAUGUGGAAAGCUUCGCAAAGCUUUCCACAAACCUAAGAUAAAAUCCAGCUAGUCCAAGAAAACUCCUCACCUCAGUCACCGUCGUCGGUCUGAGCCAAUCCCAAAUAGCAUCAAUCUUCUUCGGGUCCACUGCUACUCCAACUGCAGAAAUCACAUGGCCUAAGAAAGAAACCUCCUGCAGCCAAAACUUGCAUUUCUUCAAUUUAGCAUACAACUUCUUCUCCCUCAGAAGCUGUAAUACUAUCCUCAAGUGCUCCUAAUGCUCAACAUCACUCUAGGAGUAUAUCAAAAUAUCAUCAAUGAAUACAACAACGAAUCUAUCCAAGUACGGCUUGAACACUCUAUUCAUCAAAUCCAUAAAUGCGGCAGGGGCAUUCGUCAAUCCAAAAGGCAUCACAGUGAACUCAUAAUACAAAAAGUCGUCUUGAAAACAUCUUCGGCCCUCACCCUCAACUGGUGAUGACCUGACUGGAGAUCAAUCUUCGAAAAGAUACAAGAUCCUUGCAGCUGAUCAAACAGAUCAUCAAUACGCGGCAAAGGAUACUUAUUCUUGAUAGUCACUUUAUUCAGCUCCCGAUAAUCCACACAUAAUCUAAGUGAACCAUCCUUCUUCUUCACGAAUAAUACCGGCACUCUCCAAGGCUAUACACUGGGUCUCACAUACAUAUCCCUUAUCUAUCAGAUCCUGAAGCUGCGCCUUCAGCUCUCUCAGCUCUGUCGGUGCCAUUCAGUAGGGUGCCUUCGAGAUUGGCGCAAUUCUAGGAACUACGUCAAUCACAAACUCGAUCUCUCUAUCCGGCGGUAAAGUCGUCAACUCCGAGGAGAAAACAUCCGAAAACUCACGAACUAUAGGGAUACCCUCGAGUCCUAGCGCCGCCGUAGGCACCUCUACAACCAUCGCCAGAAAAGCAGUGCAUCCUCUACUCAUCAACUGUCGAGCCCUCGCCGAUGAAAUCCAAGUGGCAAACAACAUACUCCUGCAGCCUCUGUACGUGAACUCCUCAUGGCCUGGCUCGCGGAACGUCACUAUCCUCAUUCCACAGUCGAUCGUAGCAUAGUAUCGCACCAGUAAAUCCAUGCCAAGCACAACAUCAAAGUACUACAGCUGCUCUAAGACCAACAAGUCUGCGGGCAUAAUCCAGGAGCCCAACUGCACCAGACACGACCAACAACACUCUGCUACCUGCAAAAUAUGGUCGAAAAUCUGCACCUCUCGUGCAUGCAAAAACGACCCUACCUCUAGACCAUGCAAUGAUGUAAAUGCUCGGCUAACAAAAGAAUAUGAUAUGCCGGUAUCAAAUAAGGUACGAGCUCUAAUACCAGAAAUCAAAAUGAUACCUGCCACCACCUGGCCGGCUGCUGUAGAGUCCAUCAUUCUCCUCCACCAAGAAUGCGCAUCGCGAGCCAAACAAUGCACUCCCAGAUGUACUUGCUCCCGCUCCGGUAUAAACAAAUUCUCAAAUAAUUUCUCCAUCACGCUCACCCAGCCCUCUACAACCCAGAGCUCCGUACAGCUGCCGUCAAAGCACAGCGGAUCAAACCGACGAAAACAAGUAAGCCUCUCAAUCAUUCGCUCCUGCUCAGCCUCAGACAUUUGCGACGCCUCUCCAAAGAAUGCAACUGGCGCCGAAGGAACUGUCACUUGUGGGGGUACAGCUGUGGCUGGUGCGGCCAUGGGAAUAGUCAGUGCUGCUGCUGACUGCUCUAGUGCUCUAAGCGCUGCGCUUGGCGGUGGAGUAAAUGUCUCACACAUCCUCUAUAACAGUGCCCCCUACUACCUCGUUGCCUCAGUCAAGGCAGCCAACUGUCUCUCAGAUCAGGGGGUACACUCAGCCCUGCCUACUCAGGCACCUCUGAUGGUGUGGCACGAUCCCGCGUCGGCGGUCGGCCUCGGCGUCGAUACAUGGCUACCUGAAAUCAAAACAAAGGUCAGAUACAAAACACAAUCAACUCUCGACCCAAUCAAGCGAAAGUCUAGAAGGCCGCCCCUGUUUCUCUUCAAAAUUAUGUCGUCUGCAGCCGACAUAAUUUCCUUGGCCGAAACAGACACUCCUUAAGUGACUCACUCCACUUUAGGAUAAGUUAAAACAAUUCAAUCGCUGACUUUCGUGAUAAAUCACGCCUCUCGCGUCUUGCCUUCCUAUGGUUUGCCAAGCAUAAAGUUUUCUAGGUCCCAACGACCUAAUACUAAACUCUGAUACUAACUUAAUCUGUCACGCCCUGGAUUACCACGUUUUUCCAGGCACGCCAACAGACCCACCGUAUAUAAAAGAAUUUCCUCUGUAUACGAAGUAAUAGCUGUACCUGUAUCUGUAAUCAUACAAAACUACAAUUAGUAGUAUAGAGCUACUAAACUGAACUGUAUAUAAAUAAACAUCAGAUUCACCAUACAUACAAAGUCUCCCUGAUACAACAUCUCUCGCUCCAGCGAGUAACAGCAUAAAUACGUACAUGAGCUACUAAACUGAACUGUAUAUAAAUAAACAUCAGAUUCACCAUACGUACAAAGUCUCCCUGAUACAACAUCUCUCGCUCCAGCGAGUAACAGCAUAAAUAUGUACAUGAACCAGA